AAAAAAACUUAUGUUUUCCGUCGAUUUCUUUUCUUUUGUGUUCAUUUUAAAACUCAGAAACAGAGCAAAGCAAGCCUUGUCAGAUAAUUGAAAGAAACAAUCUAUGAAAUUACUCCCCUGCUCACUCUCAUACUCCGCUCAUCCUCCGUCUGUUACAAAGUAAUUCCCAGCCAACUCUUCCUAUUCACAAGCUAUCAACACCAAGCCAAUCCAAUUAUGACGAAAAUUACCAAGAAUGUUAGAAGAAAUUGGAACUAACAAUUGAAUUUGGGGAGAUUAGAAAUCAAUUGCAGCAAGAAGAAUUGCAAAUUGUCCAUCACCAAACUAGGAUUGCAUCGGUUGUUACAUAUUGAAAGGUAUGUUAUGCUUCCUUGAUUAAUUCAUGGAAAUUUAGGUAAUUAAUACUUGUUAUUGUUGUGCUUGGUUGUGAUAUUGUAUGUGAUAAAGAUAAUAGGUGAUUUCUGGAGUGAUAAGGGUGGAUUUUGGUGAAAAUUUAUGGCUUAACAAUGUAUAAACAACUCUGAAAUUCUGGAUUUUCAGCCAGCCCUUGCAUGUAUGAUGUUUGAUUAAAUACCUCAAAGAGGUUCACAUGCUUAAAAAUUGAUAAUUGAGCAAAGCUUGGAACUAAGAGAUAUGUAUAUAUGAGUUAUAUGAUAACUCUAAUAAUUCAAGAGUACUAAAUCAAGUUUAACAUUGAGUUUCUAAGUUUUCUAUUAUAAUGGACUUGAAUGAAAAAUGGGGUGGCAGAGCCUUUUCAAGCCUCUAUAUCUAUGCCUUAUAAAGCUCGUUUUAGCUAUGUUAUAUUUUUAUAAAAAUCUAUGUAGUACCAUCUAGAACAUAUUAAAAUUUGAAGGCAAUCGGAUGUAUGCAUUGCCCAUUACAAAAUUGCAAAGUAGCUAAGAAGUUAAGCUGAUUUCUAUGCGGCAGUAGCAGCGCAGCAGCGCUGGCGCCAGGCGCAGUGUGCUGGCUGCCAGGCCAGGCCAGACACAACGUUUCGUUUUCAAUUCCAAUUGCGACCUUAAAAUUUCACCUUUAAUUCAGUAUUUGUUCUCAUUCCUUGGUAUUCAAUUUUUUUUAAUAUAUAUGUUCGAAUUAUAUCAGAGUUGUAAUGACAGAAAUUCAAUAUGAUAUUUAAAAAAUUGCCAGUAUAAUAUUUACAUAUCAUAUUGAAUUUCUGUAUCAUUAGAAGAGUUAUUAGUGAUAAGUUUGCAACACAAUGGGAUGUGAGUUUUUCUGCACACAUGACUAAAUCAUUUGUGCGAUAUGCAUUUAUAAACGAUAUCAGGAAAUGUUUUUGUGGCCUCAUAUUAUUUGAGGAAUUUCACGUAACUUCUUAGUAUAUAUAACAUGGAAUUUAUUUAUUUAUUUUACUUUGGCUGUCUAAAAUAUGAAAGUUUUACCACAACUGUUUUUGACUCUAUUCUGAAGCAAGCAUGAGAAAUAAAAAAAACUCUACUUGGUAAGAGCAUGCUAUUGCAUAUUCUCACGUAGAAGCUCAAAUUGCAUGCACCCACUAAAGGGCAACCACCAAGGCACUUAAAACUUUUGGUUUAUAUCUAGAGUAAAAUAUGUUGACACCAUCCUUUUAGUUUUUUAAAUAACUGUCAGUACUCCUCUAGUUUACAAUAUGUAACAUUCACUAGCCCUAGUGUGGUUGACCAACUAAUAUCCGAAAAUAUUUUUAAUAUAAUGUCUAAUAUACCCUUAAAAUUAUAAUGUUUAAUAUAUCCACUAAAUAUAAAUUUGUAUAUUAUAAUUUUUACUUAACUUGAUCUAAUUGAUUAAAUUAUGAACUUGUGCAAUAAAUAACAUAAAUGUCAAAAAAUAAUAAAUAUUCAUUUUAUCAGGAAAAUAAAGUCACUUUUUGCUAAUUAAAUUUCUCAAAGAUAAAAAUUUACGUAAUAUACAUUCAAAUAUAUUUUUUUUGUAAUUAAAAGGUAAAAAUUUAAUACCCAUAAAAAGUAUAAAUUAAUGCAAAAUAAUUAUAAUUAUUUUUUCCAAAUAUUAAAAUUUACGUAAAACAAAUUUAUUAUUAUAGAACGAACUUAUUAUUCAUAUGAAAAAGUAUAAAAAUUAUAUUAAUUAUUCUUCUCAAAUAUUAAACUAAACAUAAGUCACACUUAGGCAUAAUUAUUUACAGUAAAAAUGACAAAUGUUGGUACUCUAAAAAAGAAAAAAAUAUAUUAAAUGAAAAAUCUUUUUACAAGAUAGAGCUAGUAAUAAAUAUUAGGGAACUGAUAUUUUCACAUAAAAAAUUGAUAUUCCACAUGAUCUCUCUCACUUGAAUAGUGAGUGGUUCCCACCUCCAUUUGAGAGACUCAUGUGGAAAUAUCAUUUUAAUAUGUGAAAAUAUCUAUUUCUCAAAUAUUAUUAUAUUUUCUUUUAUUUAACAUUGUACAAAAACAAAACCAAUUGUAUACUAAAAAAUGUAAUCAAAAUCAUAAACAUCCCAAAUUUUGACAUAUACUCAAGAAAAUUUAACAUAUAAAAAUCAUAAUAUGAAAGUAAGAAUUCAAAUAAUAAUUUUUUUCGUUAAACACCAAAAACUAAACUAUCAACAUACUCAAUCACUCUUAGAACAACUCAAUUAAUAAUUUAAUUUAAAAUAUUUAAUAUUUGUAUCACUUAUCCAAAAAUAUGUGCUAAUUAAACUAAAUGAGUUUUUAUAUAAGUUACCAACAAAACAAAACUAUAAUUAAAAUAUAUUGUAUUAAAAAGGAUAAUUAAACAUAUAUUAUUUAGGAAUUACAAUUUGAUAACAUACCAAGGUAAAUAUGUAACUUUAUCUAUUUAGUCAACCCUAAAAAUACUAGUUGUUACUUAAAAAGUUAGAGGGGAUGUGAGUGUUAUUAUAGUUAUCUAGAGAGGGUGUCACUGUAUUUUACUCUUAUAUCUAUUAAACAUGGGCAUAUGUGAGUGCAAUGUUUAUAUACAAGUCGAUCACUUUCCAUCUUAGCACAGUGUGGUUUAGUAUUUUAGUUUUUUUGCCACAUUGACAUUCAAAUUGGCAUGUAGCUAAUGUAUAUAUUUUUGACAACAUAUUUGUGUUCAAAGUGAUUGCUGGCUUUUCCUCUUCAUUAUAUUUUGUCAUAUGUUCGCGUGGUUGUUACCCUAGCGCUAUGCAUUAGGGUCAUUGAGUGAUUGAUUCUUCCAUGAUAGUUUCUGUUUUCUUUUAUUACUUGCAAAAUUAUAAUUGAAGCAUUGGGAUGUUGCUUGUGUAUUGGUUGCAUCCACUGUGUUUUAAUGCUCGAGGGCAAUUUUAUUUAAUUAGAUUCAUAUGUCAUUUACACUACAAAAAAAUGGACAUUCGACAACGAUUUUUCGGGCAACGACUUAUAAAAUCGUUGCCAAAAAUGCAUGUUUAGCAAUGAAAUUUGUCAUUCGUUACAGUUUCUGAAAGGCUUCCAUUUUUCGUAACAAAAUUCAUAGGUCGUUGCAAAAUUUCGUUGUCAAUUUGUUGGCGGGAAAAAAACAAUUUCCUACCUAUUUAAUUUUUUGUUGCCGAUGUGAUUUUUCCUCAUCGUGGGCAACGAAAAAAAUUUUGUUACUAUAUUUUGUAGCCUAAUAUGAAUCACAUUCAUUGUCAACAAUUUUUUUUCGUUGCGUAUUUUAUACAAUUUUGUAGGACUAGUAAAUUGUUACCCAAAAUUUAGAUAAACCCAAUAAGUACGUUUUGAACUUUUUUUUCCCAAACGCAUCAUUUUGCAUUUAAAAAUUAUUAUUUAUUUGGACGCAAAUUUAUACAUUCAAAUGUUUCACUCCCCUCAUCUCAAAAUAAAUGCCUAGUUUUACUUUUCUUUUUGUCAGAAUUAUAAUUUUUGAAAUUAAAAUUGAGCAAAUAUAGAUAUAUUUUCUAAUUUAUGAUGAAGUUUAAAUUAUUAUAUUUUAGUUAAAAAUUAUAACUUCACAACGGUUAAAUCAUACCAAACUCACCUUACUUGUCACUAUUUUUUUUGGAAACUGAUAAAUCCACAACAGAAAAUGAUGUUUCCACAUAAAAACCUUUGCUAUAGAUCCUAUAGUACGAGUUUCACCAUCGCUAUACAUCUAUAGUGAAACUUUUCAUGUGUCAAAAAGUGUUGUGGAAAUAUCAAUUUCCUUUUUUUUCUCACUUCUUAUUCUUAUUUUUUAAUCUUUUCUCAUCCAUAUUUUUUUAAGUUUUAUUCAAAUAUUUUAAUUUUGUUAAAACUACACACAUAGUUUGUAUAUCACAUAGGCAAGUAUUUAUUAUCGCUAAAAUUUAAUAUUUUUAUCAUUAUAUAAAAAUAUAUUUAGAGAAAUUAGAUAUAAAAAAAAGUAUAUUCGAGAGGAGAUGAUCAAGAAAUAACAUUAUGUUCGUAACCUUUUUCAUCUUCCCUGUUCAUACUAGCUUUGUGACCAAUUCCCGUCCCGUGUUGCUGUUUUUUAUCAACUCGAUCAUGGAAGACUAGCGUUUUCAUAUUCUCGCAGUCAACAAGGUAUUUUUUUUAAUUCUUAUACUGGUGACCUAUGUAAUGGAUAAAGCUUGAUUGAUUUUUUUUAUUUCCCUAAAUUUGUUCUUUGUUUUGGCUUACUAUUUACUAUGCGUAAUAGUUUAGAUAUUCGUCCCUUCUUGAGUGUUGAUAUUUAGUAUACCCUCAUGGUGUUUGUCAUCAUGCCGGAAAGAAAGCAGACUGAGUAUGGUAUGGAGUAGUAUAAUUUCUAUCUGCUUAUAAAAUUAUGUUCUUGUAGCAGAAUUUGAAUGAUGCCUAUAAAUCAAAUUUGAAUGAUGACUAUAAAUUCAUCAAUCCUUUUGUCAUUUCUAUGCCUUUUUUGCUUGUUGCUGCCUUAUUUCAUAUGUACUUUUUCAAUUCUGUUGUUAAAAGUUUGUGUUUAAGUUGACCAUAUGGUUCAGAAGCUGCAAUACCGUGGAUAAGAGCUUACUUAUCCACACGUGCGCGCACACACAAUAGAAAAAAGAGGGUCCAAUAGUGGUGCCCUAUUAAUGGGUCUGAAGUCAAAUUGUCUUAUAGCUCCUUUUCAAUCAGAAGCUAAGCAUAGUGAUGCUUGCUUGGGCAUUCAAUUUGAGUGGAUAUCUAACACCAUUGAGAAUUGAGUUUUUAGCUGAGUAAUUUACAUUUGAAUUUUUAAGUUGUAGUCCAUAUAUGCCAACUUUUCUGCCAAAUGGAACCUUUGAACAGAACUUAACAUAAGUUGUUACUAGUUGCAGGAUUUUUCAGUGGUUUAUCUAAAUUAUUAGUUCCUUUAUUCCAUUUAGUAUUUGUAGAUAUUUUUGUCAUUCAGAGGUUGUUGCUACACCAGAUUCUAGUGAUUCUGGGAGCAAGUCUCUGCCAGAAAAGACGGCAAAAAAAUUGUAUGUCAUGAAGAUGAUUCAGGAAAAAAGAUUGAUGCCUCAUUUUUAGGUCAAAAUCAUAAUUUGUUACCUAAAUAUGUUGAUGCCACUAACAUGGAUGUAUAUCAAGAGUACCGCAGCCAAGUGAUGGCCAGCGAGGUAAACCUCAUUACCAGAUUUUGCACUGUGUGUAAAAUUAUAAAAAAUUAUAUGUCCACGUAUAUAUGUAUGUAUAACCACUGUGUGUAAAAUUAUAAAAAAUUAUAUGUCCACGUAUAUAUGUAUGUAUAACCAAUUCUCUUUGAUGUAUGUUUGAAGGGCUUUGAUGUGAACGACUUCAUUCCAUUGUUUGAUGGCCAGAUAACACCACUUGAUAAUUCUAAGCACUCUCGUAAUUUGGUUUGUGCUUAUGUUGAGUUAGCAUUAUCUGAUUACAAGUUGCUGCAGGUGAGUUUGGGCCUCUUUUGAACCGGAUAGCAUAAUAAACUAGCUAGAACUGCUCAUUAACAUUGUUCAUAGUUCAUAGGAAUAUUUAGUAAAUUCUGGGAUUAUUUGGCAAUUUUUCUUCACUUUAAUUUGUCCUCUAUUGAUACUUUUCCAAAACAAAACUAUUUAUCAUUGAUGUGCAUUUGUAGGCUAUGACCUCAGGAGAGAUACAUAUGGAGUUUUUGGAGGUAUAUAAAGCAAAUGUACAAGCUAACCCAGCAGACAUGGUUAGAAUGCUUUUCAAGGCUAAGCAUGCAAACUUUUAUAUCACUUUCUUGGUUAAGAACAAAAAAGAUGGUUCAAUUCAGACUUUACAAACUUUGGUUUGAAGACGUGUUGAUAAAAUGGCAGUUUGAAUGUCCAAAUAAGGUCUGUGAGGGUGAAGCCCACCUUUGAAGGUAAGGCUAAUUAACAAAGGUUCUUUAUUCUACUGAUUCAAGUAUGUUUGAUCUCUGCAUAGUUUAAUAGCUACUUAUGUACGUAUAAUGUAUUCUCUAUUUUUGUGUCUUUUGUCUGAGAAAACUAGCAUAGUAUGUGUGUAAUGAUGUACUACAGUUUUUCUUAUAAGAACAUCUUUGCUCCUAUAAUGCUAUGAGCUUUAAUCGGGUCUGUUGUACUUCUUUUAUUUCUUGAUUUGAAUGCUGAAAUGUAAGUUUAUUGCCAAAUAGUUGGAUUG
rnacentral:lncRNA from 1 species